UACGUAGGUGGCAAGCGUUGUCCGGAUUUACUGGGCGUAAAGGGAGCGUAGGCGGAUACUUAAGUGGGAUGUGAAAUACCUGGGCUUAACUUGGGUGCUGCAUUCCAAACUGGGUGUCUAGAGUGUUGGAGAGGAAAGUGGAAUUCCUAGUGUAGCGGUGAAAUGCGUAGAGAUUAGGAAGAACACCAGUGGCGAAGGCGACUUUCUGGACAAUAACUGACGCUGAGGCUCGAAAGCGUGGGGAGCAAACAGGAUUAGAUACCCUGGUAGUCCACGCCGUAAACGAUGGGUACUAGGUGUAGGAGGUAUAGACUCCUCAUGUGCCGCCGUUAACACAAUAAGUACCCCGCCUGGGGAGUACGGUCGCAAGAUUAAA
rnacentral:rRNA from 1 species